rnacentral:rRNA from 2 species
AGGUUAACCGUAUAGGGGAGCCGUAGGGAAACCGAGUCUUAACUGGGCGAAUGAGUUGCAGGGUAUAGACCCGAAACCCGGUGAUCUAUCCAUGGGCAGGUUGAAGGUUGGGUAACACUAACUGGAGGACCGAACCGACUAAUGUUGAAAAAUUAGCGGAUGACUUGUGGAUGGGGGUGAAAGGCCAAUCAAACCGGGAGAUAGCUGGUUCUCCCCGAAAGCUAUUUAGGUAGCGCCUCGUGAACUCAUCUUCGGGGGUAGAGCACUGUUUCGACUAGGGGGUCAUCCCGACUUACCAACUCGAUGCAAACUGCGAAUACCGAAGAAUGUUAUCACGGGAGACACACGGCGGGUGCUAACGUCCGUCGUGAAGAGGGAAACAACCCAGACCGCCAGCUAAGGUCCCAAAGUCAUGGUUAAGUGGGAAACGAAGUGGGAAGGCUCAGACAGCCAGGAUGUUGGCUUAGAAGCAGCCAUCAUUUAAAGAAAGCGUAAUAGCUCACUGGUCGAGUCGGCCCGCGCGGAAGAUGUAACGGGGCUAAACCAUGCACCGAAGCUGCGGCAGCGA